rnacentral:tRNA from 1 species
GAGAUUGUGGCUCAGUGGUAGAGCACUCGCCUUGCACAUGCGGGGCGCUGGGUUGGAUCCUCAACAUCACA